rnacentral:lncRNA from 1 species
CGCCAUGGCAGGGCCUCGUCCAUCCAGCCUGGGCCGCGCUGGCCGGAGCAGACCGCAAGCGGCCCGCUGGGAGCCCAGCCAAGAGCGGUGUUUUUCCAGGUCCGCGCAGGGCCACGGGAACCCGCGUGUUUGUUUGGUGGGAAUGGAUUCCUGGAAAACUAGACGGAAGGCUCUCCCAGCUGCUGGCUCCGCUCUGUUGAUGGAUACCAUCCAGUGUCACCACAGGGGCUUCCAGUGCCUGGAAUUUUGGUGGGAGGAGAGCAACUUCAGGAAUGAAGGAGGAGGUAACAGCAGCAGAGAUUCAGGGCAGACCUUGGGGAGACGCCCAUCAAAGCAGGUGAGGAUGGGGAAAAAGGACCGAGGGUGGGCCCAUCGGUCCGUUCCAGAACUCCCACUGGACCGUCAAACGGGGUUGAGCGGACAGCUGAGCCCUGGAGCCUGGGGACGAGAUGUUCCAUCCUCUGAGCAGACUGAGGCCGGAUGCACUGCUUGGAGCCGACGCCGCACCAGCUCCAGCUCCCUUCCUUGGCUGCAGGGUCUUCUUUGGAGUGAGGGUCGGCCUCUCGGCGCCUCAGGGAGCGCAGGGCCCUUCGGAGGCAAGUGGUGUGGGGGCCUCUCCCAUGUGGGGGGCUCUGUUAGACCUCCUUCCUUCCUCUUCUCGUUGGCGGCGAGGCUGGAGGGUGUGCUCUUUCCAGACCCUUCUCUCUCACGUGUCUGAACAGUCAGAGGAAGCGGCAGGGAGAGGAUGAACCAUCCGAGCCCUGAGAGCUGGUGGGAACCGUGAGAGACCAUNAUUGUAGGAGGAGGUAACAGCAGCAGAGAUUCAGGGCAGACCUUGGGGAGACGCCCAUCAAAGCAGGUGAGGAUGGGGAAAAAGGACCGAGGGUGGGCCCAUCGGUCCGUUCCAGAACUCCCACUGGACCGUCAAACGGGGUUGAGCGGACAGCUGAGCCCUGGAGCCUGGGGACGAGAUGUUCCAUCCUCUGAGCAGACUGAGGCCGGAUGCACUGCUUGGAGCCGACGCCGCACCAGCUCCAGCUCCCUUCCUUGGCUGCAGGGUCUUCUUUGGAGUGAGGGUCGGCCUCUCGGCGCCUCAGGGAGCGCAGGGCCCUUCGGAGGCAAGUGGUGUG